rnacentral:lncRNA from 1 species
UAGAAAUUGAUAAUAAUAGCGAGGCCUUUUUAGAUAGAAAAGAUUUGUUAUUUCAUAUAUAUGAUUAGUUCAUAGAAAAUUAGUUCAUCUAUAAUAUCAUAUCAUAUAUACAUAGGUUUCUUCUAUGUUGUAAACUAAUUUUCUUUGUGUUUUAGAUUCAAUCGAAAUCGAAAUUCAUUCUUUGAUUUGAAACCUCAAAAGCAAAGAAAGAGUUUUCUUAUAGUGAUCAGAUUCUAUGCACUCAACAUCAGAUUUUAUGCACUCAACCCUCACUUCUAUUUUUUUAAUCAUUUUUUUGAAGUUCCCCUUCCCUCUUUCUUAUUCUUUUAUCCCAUAUGGAUACAAUCAAUUUAAAUAAAUUCAUUAGAUUUCAUUAAUGAAUUUAUUUAAAUUGAUUGUAUCCCAUAUGGAUACAAUCAAUCUAAAUAAAUUCAGUAGGCACCUGUGGCCAGGGCCCUAGAAAAGGGCAACCAGGCGUCCUGCGGCCUUUUGUAACCGUCCCUUCUAGUGCUUUUUCUGUUCUUCCUGGAUUCCAACUCCUUGAUACUUAACUCCUCUUUCAA